GCCCGGAUAGCUCAGUUGGCAGAGCAUCAGACUUUUAAUCUGAGGGUCCAGGGUUCAAGUCCCUGUUCGGGCG
rfam:Mustela putorius furo unplaced genomic scaffold scaffold00330, whole genome shotgun sequence.